rnacentral:rRNA from 1 species
GAUGAACGCUGGCGGCGUGCUUAACACAUGCAAGUCGAACGGACGAUCAGAGCUUGCUCUGAGAGUUAGUGGCGGACGGGUGAGUAACGCGUGGGUAACCUGCCUCAUACAGGGGGAUAACAGUGGGAAACUACUGCUAAUACCGCAUAAGCGCACAGUACCGCAUGGUACAGUGUGAAAAACUCCGGUGGUAUGAGAUGGACCCGCGUUGGAUUAGCUAGUUGGUGAGAUAGCGGCUCACCAAGGCGACGAUCCAUAGCCGGCCUGAGAGGGUGAACGGCCACAUUGGGACUGAGACACGGCCCAG